rnacentral:rRNA from 1 species
CAUGUAGGCGGCUCGCCAAGUCUGAUGUGAAAGCCCUGGGCUCAACCCAGGAAGUGCAUUGGAAACUGGCGAACUUGAGUACGGGAGAGGAAAGUGGAAUUUCGAGUGUAGGGGUGAAAUCCGUAGAUAUUCGAAGGAACACCAGUGGCGAAGGCGGCUUUCUGGACCGAUACUGACGCUGAGAUGCGAAAGCGUGGGGAGCAAACAGGAUUAGAUACCCUGGUUAGUCC